rnacentral:lncRNA from 1 species
ACAUAGUGAGUUUUUGGCCAACGUCAGCACCAUCACCUCAGAUUAUUCCACCACAUCGUCUGCUACAUACUUGACUAGCCUGGACUCCAGUAGACUGAGCCCUGAGGUGCAGUCGUGGCAGAGAGCAAGGGGGACGAGGCAGACGACGAGAAAAGCGAACUGAUCCUUGAAGGGCGGCCUGUGGAAACCGACAGCGGGAACGAGUUUCCCAUUUUCCCCACAGCUUUGACUUCGGAGAGGCUUUUCCGAGGAAAACUGCAAAAAGUGACUAAGAGCAGCCGGAGAAAUUCUGAAUGAAGUGAAGUAAGUUGCACCGAGGGAAGUUUAACAUCAAGUUUAGAUAGCCGGAGACAGCUCUUCAGUUCCCAUAAACUCAUCACAUGUGAUAUUCUCUCCAGGAAAAAAUCAGCGAGAUUCAAGUCAGACAGUGGAAGUCUAGGAGAUGCCAAGAACGAGAAAGAAACACCUUCAUUAACUAAAGUGUUUGAUGUUAUGAAAAAAGGAAAGUCAACUGUGAGUUUACUGACACCCACCAGAGGUGGAUCCGAAAAACAGGAAUCCACAUGGAAAACGAAAAAAGCAGAUCAGCUAAAACUGAGACCCAGAGCCCCUGCGGAUGACGUGUUUGGAGUAGGGAAUCACAAAGCGAAUGCCGCGACUGCUAAAAGGAAAAGCACCCGGCGCAGACAUACGCUAGGAGGGCACAGAGAUGCUACUGAAAUCAGCGUUUGGAAUUUUUGGAAAGCGCAUGAGCGGAGUUGGGAGAGAGAAUCUGAACUUUCAGCUGUAAGCCGGUUAAAACCAAAAUGCUCAGCCCAGGACGUUUCCAUCUCAGACUGGCUGGCCAGGAAUUGCCUACACACUAGUACCUCUGACCUUAGCAGCGGAGAAAGCGGAGAUCCCCAGGCAGAGAACCCAAGGACACGAGAAAUAGCCACGACCGACACACCUUUGGCUUGUCAGUACGACACAGGCAGUUCUUCCAGCACCUUGGCUUCAACAAACAGGCCCCUUCUUUCCAUACCACCGCAGUCACCUGACCAAAUAAACGGAGAAAGCUUCCAGAACGUGAGCAAAAAUGCUAGUUCUGCAGCGAAUGCCCAACCUCAUAAACUGUCUGAAACCUCAGGCAAUAAAUCACAAUUUCAUCCCUGUCUUUAA